AAGAACCACCUCAGUGCUGAGCUGAAAGCCUGUUUUGCUGGGCUGGUUUAGCAGAUGGCAGCCUGAAGUCAGCUCACGUAAAUGAACUGGUUAACGAGCAGCCUGGGAGAACGCUAAGCAGUCUAGAGAUGAGAAACUCAGCAUGGGAUCACAGGAAACAACAGUGGGAGAGACCUUGACAGGCUCAAAAUAAAUUUUACCAUGUCAUUCUUACCAUCAUCACAUUGCCUCAGGACAAAUAGAAGCUGACUCUCUGAGAAACCAAUUUUCAUCUAAUGACGAUGGAACCAACUAAAUAAAACCUGAUAUUUUAAACAUUAAAGAAACAUUC